AAGUGAGAAGCAACCUCUUGCAAUUAGUUUCGACCUAAUCUUAGAUAGUAAAUCUAUCCUCACUCU
rnacentral:tRNA from 1 species